GCUACUGUGGCGCAAUAGGUAGCGCAAUUGAUUUGUAAUCAAUAGGUUGCAGGUUCGACUCCUGUCAGUAGCUCCA
rnacentral:tRNA from 1 species